rnacentral:rRNA from 1 species
UACGGGGGGGAGCAAGCGUUGUUCGGAUUUACUGGGCGUAAAGAGCGCGCAGGCGGUCGUUCAAGUCGCGUGUGAAAGCCCCCCGGCUCAACUGGGGAGGGUCACGCGAUACUGAUCGACUCGAAGGCAGGAGAGGGUAGUGGAAUUCCCGGUGUAGUGGUGAAAUGCGUAGAUAUCGGGAGGAACACCAGUGGCGAAGGCGACUACCUGGCCUGUUCUUGACGCUGAGGCGCGAAAGCUAGGGGAGCAAACGGG